UUUCGGUAUGAAGUUCUUUAUGACUGAGUGGCGGACGGGUGAGUAACGCGUGGGUAACCUGCCUUGUACUGGGGGAUAGCAGCUGGAAACGGCUGGUAAUACCGCAUAAGCGCACAAUGUUGCAUGACAUGGUGUGAAAAACUCCGGUGGUAUAAGAUGGACCCGCGUCUGAUUAGCUAGUUGGUGGGGUAACGGCCUACCAAGGCGACGAUCAGUAGCUGAACUGAGAGGUUGAACGGCCACAUUGGGACUGAGAUACGGCCCAGACUCC
rnacentral:rRNA from 1 species